rnacentral:rRNA from 1 species
UACGGAGGGUGCAAGCGUUGUCCGGAUUUAUUGGGUUUAAAGGGUGCGUAGGCGGCCCGUUAAGUCAGCGGUGAAAUCCCGGGGCUCAACCCCGGAACUGCCGUUGAUACUGGCGGGCUUGAGUUCGGUCGAGGUGGGCGGAACUGGUGGUGUAGCGGUGAAAUGCUUAGAUACCACCAAGAACCCCGAUUGCGUAGGCAGCUCGCUUGGCCGAAACUGACGCUGAGGCACGAAAGCGUGGGGAGCAAACAGG